UGCAUGCAAAUGCAGCAAUGUUGCCGGUGAGCUAGAGUUUGUGGUGCAGAUGGCUAAUCAAGGCCUAGAAAACAAUAUUUCGUCUAUCUAUUGGUAUUAAUAUUGGAUUGCUAAAGACAUAUUAAUAUCCUCGAUCUAUCCAUCGGCAAAAAUUAGUCCCACCUGGAUUUUGUGAUCGUCUGUCGCUAGCUGCUUUUUUGGGUGUUGCCGUGCUAUGUGUUUUCAAGAGAGGAAGAUCUCAGAUUUGAGAGAGGAAGUGAUUAACCACACUCUACAUCCAUUGCUUAGUAAGAGCAUCUCCAACAACUCCUCAAAUCCACUUGGUAUUCUUAUUAUUUUGAGAAAAACACAAAAACACCUCUCCAACAACUCCUUAAAUUCACUUGGUAUCCGCACGCGUAUAUCUUCGCGCGCGGAGUAGACUUCGUAUCGCGGUUUUGGGUACGACGUCCCUGUCCCGCGCGGCGAGUGGAUCUCGCGCCAAACUCUUCCCGCGGCGCGUCCCCGGCCCGAUGGAGAGCUCUUCACGUCGCGCGUGAAGCCGCAGCCGACCCUGAUCCCCGUCCCUGCCGCCGAAGGCGCGAUCGCGUUCGCAAUCGCGCGUGAAGCCCCGGUCCCUGAUCGCGUUUGCAACCGGCGAACCCUGGAUCGCGUCCGAUCCUCUCCUCUUCCGAUUCGACUCAAUUCCUGAUCGCGUUUGCAGUCGCGCGUGAAGCCCCGACGCAGCCUGGACGGACCUCUCCUCUCCCAGUUGUGAAGUCGCGCUGCUGUGUCCCUCUUGGACUUGAAGCCGCCAGGCCAUCCAUCAGAAUGGAAGGAGAAGAUGGAGAUUUCUUGUCCAACAUUCUUCUCCAUGGAGAAGGGGCUCAUGUUGCUGGUUUGGACGAGAUGCAUAUUCCAGACACUCAAGACAGUAGUCCUCGUAGUGAUGAAGUGCAGGCAUUCAUUAUGCGUAUGAAAAGAUCUCUAGACAUCCUGUAUCUAAACAAAACAAUUCUAUAGAUUAACAACUACAAUGAUACUUAUGAACAUACAACAAAUCAUAUAUAAGUGACAGAAUAUAAACCUUCGACGGAAUGUUUCAGGAGGGUAUGUUGGAUUGUCAGCUAAAUAAUCUUUGAACAUCCUGUCGUGUC